rnacentral:tRNA from 2 species
GGAGAGGUGGCUGAGCGGCCGAAAGCGGCGGUCUUGAAAACCGUUGAGGGGAGACCCUCCCUGGGUUCGAAUCCCAGCCUCUCCGCCA